UAAAAUUCUCAGGGCGGGGUGUAAUUCCCCACCGGCGGUAUGUUGACUUACGCACUUUCAUUGUUGUAGUUGAUGAGCCCGCGAGCGCUCGAUUUUUCGAGGUCAGCAGAUCUGGUGAGAGGCCAGAGCCGACGGUUAUAGUCCGGAUGAGAGAGAAUGAAA
rnacentral:ncRNA from 1 species